UGGGGGAGGGGGGGGGGGGGGAAACAAAGGGGGAACUGUGCAGAUUUAGUUUAAACCACGACAGUUUUUGGCGCCCAACGUGGGGCACAAACCCACGAAAUAACAACAAAUCUGACAGGAUUUAUAGUCAUUUGUCACAAUGCUGUUUUAUUGGCUCUCACAGUUUUUCCUCUUGAUCUCACAGUUUCAGGAUUUUACCAAUUACUUGUCAUAUAUAUUAGCUGUGUUAGUGUUUAUCAAGUAUGGGGCUUGGGCUAAGGUUCUGGUCUCAUUGUACUUUAUGUUAAUGACUUGUAAUACAAUAGAAGCAUUGAUGAUGAAACUGAUCUGGUUUAUGCUCCUGGUAUGGUCACCAACUUUAUAUUUUGGGAGGUAUAUAAUAGAAGUGCUUAGCAAUUUCACAUCUUUUCUCUCCUUCUCGAGUGGUCAACCUGUGAAGGAGACAUUCUUCUAUCCUCCCAGUGUUCUCUCCAGAUGGUCUACAACAUCAUUUGAGGGGUUUGAAGUUUUUGAAUGGCCUUUUAAUACUGUUGAGACUUGUAUGCUGAUUGUGAUGGGGAUCACCAUAGUAGCAUGCAUACAGAGUGUGUUUUGCCCACAGUUAUUUCAUCUGAUUUCAAGAGUUAAGCGGAGUCAGGUCUGGUCCUGUAUUGGGGUUAAACGACGAAAUAGGAGGACCAGGAGAUCUUCCCAGAGGCUGGACAGUCAUGAGUGGCAGGGUGUGUGGGAUAGUAUGGGCAAGCAUCUAGGUCAGUGGGCCCCUCCAGUACUUUGGAAUUUUACUCCCGAGCAAGUGAAGAAUCCGGAAGAAUUAGUAAAACACCUAAAUGAGGUGUGUUGUCGUCCUGGCCAUACCAGAGAUGGACAAAUUACAGCAACGUGCUGGGGCUUGGCCUAUGCUUAUAGGGCCUCGAUCGACAUUAUCCAACACCUUCAAAAGGAAAAAAAUGCCCCUGGAUCUGAGAGCAACACAGAAGUCAGCGCAGCUGUUCCAACUCCAAGUACAGCAGCU
rnacentral:lncRNA from 14 species